rnacentral:rRNA from 1 species
UAAUCACCUGCCUCCUAAUUAGGGGCCUGUAUGAACGGGAAAACGAGAAUAGAGCUGUCUCCCUUCCAACCCUAAAACCUUAUCUCUAGGUGAAAAAGCCUAGAUAGUUAUAAAAGACAACAAGUCCCCGUCGAGCUCAAAUUUUACACAACCCCCUCCCCUUGCAAAAAUUUUCGUUGGGGCGACACGGGAAUACAAUAUCUUCCCCCACACUUCAGACUCCAAGUCACACCCCAAAGACCCACCAAAGACCCUAGGAACUA